rnacentral:rRNA from 1 species
AUUGAACGCUGGCGGCAGGCCUAACACAUGCAAGUCGAACGGUAACAGGAAGAAGCUUGCUUCUUUGCUGACGAGUGGCGGACGGGUGAGUAAUGUCUGGGAAACUGCCUGAUGGAGGGGGAUAACUACUGGAAACGGUAGCUAAUACCGCAUAAUGUCGCAAGCCCAAAGAGGGGGACCUUCGGGCCUCUUGCCAUCGGAUGUGCCCAGAUGGGAUUAGCUAGUAGGUGGGGUAACGGCUCACCUAGGCGACGAUCCCUAGCUGGUAUGAGAGGAUGACACGACACAUUGGAACUGAGACACAGUCGAGACAGCUGCAGUAGGAAGCGUUGAGGAGUAGUGCGCAAUGGGCGCAAGCAGGAUGCAGCUAUCCCGCGUGUAUGAAGAAGGCCUUGGGAUUCUAAAUGUGUUGCUGGAGGGAUGGAGGAAGAUGUGAUAAUGGCUUCGCGGAUUGACGUUGCUCUGAGAUGAAGCCCCGGCUAACUCCGUG